UCCAGACUCCUACGGGAGGCAGCAGUGGGGGAUAUUGCACAAUGGGGGGAACCCUGAAGCAGCAACGCCGCGUGGAGGAUGAAGGUUUUCGGAUUGUAAACUCCUUUUGUUAGAGAAGAUAAUGACGGUAUCUAACGAAUAAGCACCGGCUAACUCCGUGCCAGCAGCCACGGUAAUACGGAGGGGGCAAGCGUUAUCCGGAUUUACUGGGUGUAAAGGGAGCGUAGACGGAAAGGCAAGUCAGAUGUGAAAUCCUAUGGCUUAACCAUAGAACUGCAUUUGAAACUGUUAUUCUAGAGUAUGGGAGAGGUAGGUGGAAUUCUUGGUGUAGGGGUAAAAUCCGUAGAGAUCAAGAGGAAUACUCAUUGCGAAGGCGACCUGCUAGAACAUAACUGACGCUGAUGCGCGAAAGCGUGGGGAGCAAACAGGAUUAGAUACCCUUGUA
rnacentral:rRNA from 1 species